GAGACUUCCGUUUUUAAGGUCGUACCCGAAAGACCUGCGAUUAUCACGAAUAAAUGCUAUAAGCGUGUGGCGAAGGAGCAAUCGCUACCAAUGUUUACGUCUUAGGUUUGACCAACGUGACACGAGUGAGGCUCGAACUCAAGACGUCGCGGUUACGAAGUGAACAGACUGAGCUAUCGCGAUAUGCCAAAGAUCAGGCCCGUACUCCGGGUUUUUCAGAGGGUGCGAAUUCCUAGGAUUUCCCAGAGGGGGUGCGAUUGCUUAGGAUCUCCAGAGAGGGCGUGGAUUUUCUAUACUAUUCAGGGCUCUGGUCUAUAAAUCUGAAAUUGAGCUUGGGAAACAGAUCAAGACCAGAAUGUGAUAAUAAACCAUUGACUUCAACUAGUAUAUCUGCAUGUGAAAUUAGGAUUCGGGAUCAAUUUGCAUGGUUUACAGGUUUACAAACGAUGACUUCUAUUUUGUGAUGAAACAAAUGUGGUGAUGGCGGAGGACUCGCAGUUAAUUUGCUAAAAUUAUUCAGAAUUCAUCAUUUUCAUAUCAUCAGAUUGCUGUUUACAAACUCGAAAAAUAAACGAAUAAAAUGAAAUUUAAAAUAAUUCAUGAAAACAAACAAACAAAAAAGGAAAAUAAGUUACGCGAAAACUUUAUUUGGAUCUGUCCCACCAACAUCA